GCAUUAAUGGGGUAGUGGUAACCUGGGUCGUUGCCAUAUAGAGUCAAGUGACUCGACCCGCCGGGGGUUCGAUUCCCCCUUAAUGCA